CUCAGGAUGAACGCUAGCGACAGGCUUAACACAUGCAAGUCGAGGGGCAUCACGGGAGUAGCAAUACAACUGGUGGCGACCGGCGCACGGGUGAGUAACGCGUAUGCAACCUACCUAUCAGAGGGGAAUAACCCGGCGAAAGUCGGACUAAUACCGCAUAAAACAGGGGCACCGCAUGGUGAUAUUUGUUAAAGAAAUUCGCUGAUAGAUGGGCAUGCGUUCCAUUAGGCAGUUGGUGAGGUAACGGCUCACCAAGCCGACGAUGGAUAGGGGAACUGAGAGGUUGGUCCCCCACACUGGUACUGAGACACGGACCAGACUCCUACGGGAGGCAGCAGUGAGGAAUAUUGGUCAAUGGGCGGGAGCCUGAACCAGCCAAGUCGCGUGGAAAAGGAAGAAGGAUCUAUGGUUACGUAAACUUCUUUUGCAGGGGAAUAAAGUGCAGGACGUGUCCUGUUUUGUAUGUACCCUGAGAAUAAGGAUCGGCUAACUCCGUGCCAGCCGCAGC
rnacentral:rRNA from 1 species